AGAGUGAACGCUGGCGGCGUGCCUAACACAUGCAAGUCGAACGAGAACGGAACUAGCUUGCUAGUUUGUCAGCUAAGUGGCGCACGGGUGAGUAAUAUAUAGUUAAUCUGCCCCAAAGAAGAGAAUAAUUGUUGGAAACGACUUGUAAUGCUCUAUAUGCCUUUAUCACAUAAGUGAGCAAGGGAAACAUUUAUGGCUUUGGGAUGAGACUGUACGGUAUCAGCUAGUUGGUGAGGUAAUGGCUCACCAAGGCUAUGACAUCUAACUGGUUUGAGAGGAUGAUCAGUCACACUGGAACUGAGACACGGUCCAGACUCCUACGGGAGGCAGCAGUGGGGAAUAUUGCACAAUGGACGAAAGUCUGAUGCAGCAACGCCGCGUGGAGGAUGACACAUUUCGGUGCGUAAACUCCUUUUAUAUGAGAAGAUAAUGACGGUAUCAUAUGAAUAAGCACCGGCUAACUCCGUGCCAGCAGCCGCGGUAAUACGGGGGGUGCAAGCGUUACUCGGAAUCACUGGGCGUAAAGAGCAUGUAGGCUGGUUUGUAAGUUGGAAGUGAAAUCCUAUGGCUUAACCAUAGAACUGCUUCCAAAACUGCAGACCUAGAAUAUGGGAGAGGUAGAUGGAAUUUCUGGUGUAGGGGUAAAAUCCGUAGAGAUCAGAAGGAAUACCGAUCGCGAAGGCGAUCUACUGGAACAUUAUUGACGCUGAGAUGCGAAAGCGUGGGGAGCAAACAGGAUUAGAUACCCUGGUAGUCCACGCCCUAAACGAUGCACACUAGUUGUUGCCUUGCUCGACAAGGCAGUAAUGCAGUUAACACAGUAAGUGUGCCGCCUGGGGAGUACGGUCGCAAGAUUA
rnacentral:rRNA from 1 species